rnacentral:rRNA from 1 species
UACGGAGGGGGCUAGCGUUGUUCGGAAUUACUGGGCGUAAAGCGCACGUAGGCGGAUUGUUAAGUCGGGGGUGAAAUCCUGGAGCUCAACUCCAGAACUGCCUUCGAUACUGGCGAUCUCGAGUUCGGGAGAGGUGAGUGGAACUGCGAGUGUAGAGGUGAAAUUCGUAGAUAUCGCAAGAACACCAGUGGCGAAGGCGGCUCACUGGCCCGAUACUGACGCUGAGGUGCGAAAGCGUGGGGAGCAAACAGGGAU